GAGCCACUUAAGAUGACUGACAAAACAAUUAAGUUUCUUUCUCCUUUUGCCCCACUUAAUGAUGCCGUGGACACGUGCCUAAGAACUACACCGGCACAGUUGUGACCUAUAUUUCUCACUCCUCGAGUACCUGUCCAUUCAAACAGGGUACUAUCUGUCAGUCCUGACUGAUGGCGAAGGUUUAACGUCUGAGCGUGCAGUCUUCGGUUUUUCCCCCGGAGAUCGCUACCACGCAACAUCAUGGCUACCUGUCCAUGCAGUUGAAGACGUAUCCUACAUACAGGGCCAAGACAAACACCUGGAGUGUGAGGAACAGUUUUCUCCUUCUAGAGAUCAACAUCACUGUAGCAGGUACUAGGCCUGGUCACCGAGUAAUCUGGGACAAAAAGUUAGUGUAUCAGACUAGGAUAUGGACGUAGAAUCGGUAGAAAAUCCCACAUAAAUCGCAGCAUUCAGCAACAACUGACGUUCAGUCAUUUGUGACCGCAAGUGGAGCGGAAGCAGAAGUUGUCAGUAGUUCCACCUUUUAUCUGUCUGUAGAUCAAAAAGAAGUGACCUUCAAAACCCAUGUUAAUAUCUAAUGAGGACAAUUACCUGUUACAGCUGGGUGUUGUUUGAUGUUCAUUGGUACAUGUGCUAAAGAACAAUUACGUACAACAAUUAUUGGGAAAUUACAGGUAAUGGCCCGAAUGAAAUGUGAAGGUAAUGACCCCCCUCCCCAUACCCUGUUCUCAGUAAGUCGUCUACGACCAAUUAUAUAUUACAGCUCCUAGUCAAAGUCUUCAGUUUUGAGUACCAAAUUGUGGAACCACCCUUACCUGGAAAAGGCCAUUCGUGCCCUCCAAAGCUUACGACUUCUAACGUCUAAUGAUUGAAUUGAAACUCCAUUCAUAAUUUUGAAAAACCUGCCACAGAAGAUCACUCAGUGGAUUUAAUCCGGCCUAUGUAUUCAUCAUGCCUGCGUCAAUAGGAAACAAUGCAAGACCAU